rnacentral:rRNA from 1 species
UACGGGGGAGCAAGCGUUGUUCGGAUUUACUGGGCGUAAAGGGCGCGUAGGCGGCCAGCACAAGUCAGUUGUGAAAUCUCCGAGCUUAACUCGGAAAGGUCAACUGAUACUGUGCGGCUAGAGUGCAGAAGGGGCAACUGGAAUUCUUGGUGUAGCGGUGAAAUGCGUAGAUAUCAAGAGGAACACCUGCGGCGAAGGCGGGUUGCUGGGCUGACACAUGAC